CAUCGCUUUUUCGGUUAGUGGAUUCAAGAUAGAGCGAUGGUGGCGACAGCGGCGGCGGCGGCGGAUAUGCUGGCAGCGGCGGCCGAUGGAUCCAAGAGGAAGAUGUGCUUGUCGGGUAGUGGAUAUGCGACGGUGAUGGUGUGUGCUGGCGAUCAUCCCCGCCCCUAUUUUCGGUUCAAGAUAGAGCGAUGGUGGCGACGACUGCUCGAUGACUCACGAGGAGGUGGCAGCAAUUUUCUUGACAACAAGAUCAAGGCAGCAACAAGCAGUUCUGGUCAGAUAAAGGGAUUUCGACCCUGCUUGUUAUGCGAAACAUACCCUUUUCAUUUGACCUCGACCUAAUUAAGUUCUUGUUAUUCAAUUCGUCAAGCCAAUUAAGUUUCUGAUCUCAAUUCCCAAGAAUGACACAGGUGGAGUCUUAACUAUUCAUUUCUGAGAUACUCAUUGCAUGAGGAAGCAUUGAGACAGUGGGAGGUGAGACUCAAAGCAUGAAUAGGUAAAUGGACACAGAGCAUUUUCAGAACUGAACUCGCAUAGUUAUGUGCUAAUAAUCACAACCAUGCAUCAUCAAUACAUGCCGCUGAUGUAUUAUAUUUGUUUGUUUUUUUGCUGCCAAAGCAAGAGUCGGGUCAGGUAUGUUUUGGUUUGGUUAUUAAUAGAAGCAACCCUUACUGUGUACUAUUGACACUAAUGAUGCUAGCAUCAAUUCUAAAUUUGGCGUUUGUGAGGAGAAAGAAUACCAAAAGGUGUAAGACAAGUGGUGUAAGACAGUUUAGGGGAAAAGAACAAUUUAUACUACCA